CCUACGGGAGGCAGCAGUGGGGAAUAUUGCACAAUGGGCGCAAGCCUGAUGCAGCCAUGCCGCGUGUGUGAAGAAGGCCUUCGGGUUGUAAAGCACUUUCAGCGAGGAGGCGUUACUCGCAGAAGAAGCACCGGCUAACUCCGUGCCAGCAGCCGCGGUAAUACGGAGGGUGCAAGCGUUAAUCGGAAUUACUGGGCGUAAAGCGCACGCAGGCGGUCAAUUAAGUUGGAUGUGAAAUCCCCGGGCUUAACCUGGGAACUGCAUUCAAAACUGAUUGGCUAGAGUCUUGUAGAGGGGGGUAGAAUUCCAGGUGUAGCGGUGAAAUGCGUAGAGAUCUGGAGGAAUACCGGUGGCGAAGGCGGCCCCCUGGACAAGCUGACGCUCAGGUGCGAAAGCGUGGGGAGCAAACAGGAUUAGAUACCCUUGUAGUC
rnacentral:rRNA from 1 species